rnacentral:misc_RNA from 1 species
GAUGAAGAACGCAGCGAAAUGCGAUAAGUAGUGUGAAUUUCAGAAUUCAGUGAAUCAUCGAAUCUUUGAACGCACAUUGCGCCCCUUGGUAUCCCGAGGGGCAUGCCUGUUCGAGCGUCAUUUCACCACUCAAGCCUGGCUUGGUGUUGGGCGACGUCCCCUUUAGGGACGCGCCUCGAAACGCUCGGCGGCGUGGCACCGGCUUUAAGCGUAGCAGAAUCUUUCGCUUUGGAAGUCGGGGCCCCGCCUGCCGGAAUACCUACUCGUAAGGUUGACCUCGGAUCAGGCAGGGAUACCCGCUGAACUAAGCAUAUCAAUAAGCGGAGGA